GGUAUAGUUAUCAAACCAAGGAACCAAUAUUGGGAAAUUACUAUUCAUGAAACUUCACUCUUUUUUUUUGAUUUUACCAGUUUUUCCACUGAUGUCUGUCCCAAGGUCUAAUUGAGGAUCCCACAGUGCAUGUAUUUCAACAGGCUUUUAGUAAAUAUUGGGAUUCCAGGCUUUGUCUCUGGCUAGAUAUGAGAGUACAAAUCCUCUGUGCCCCUCCACCUCCCCAGACAGUCAUGCUGUACAAUCUUGGGACAUAGGGUAAAGUGAAGGGCCUCUUCGGGCAGGCAGGUAAGUCAUCAGGCCACUCCAUGGGCCCUGGGAGACCAUCAGCACACAGUUGGGCCCUUCCUCAGCAAGCAGCUCUGUGUUCUCAGCAGUAUGAGUAAGCAUUGAGGCCUCAAUAGUUGGCAAAAAGCAGAUCUUCCUGUGGGAAAAAUACUUUGAAUAAGGAAGAAAAAGGAGAUUUGUAUUAUAUAAGUUUGGCUGUCUCUAAUUUAAAGAAAGUUAAACUUUAUUGCACAACGACUACUAGUUCUUUCUUCUUCUUCUUCCUUCUCCUCCUCUUCCUUCUCCUUUUUCUGUCUCCUCCUACUUCUCCUUGUCCUUUUUCUCCUCCUCCUCCUCCUUCCCUUCUCCUCCUCCUCCUCUUUCUCCUUCCCUUCUCCUCCUUCUCCUCCUUCCUCUAUCUUUUUCUCCUCCUCCUUCUUCUCUUUCCUUUCUCCUUCUUCUCCUCCUCCUUCUCCCCCCCUUCUCUUUCUCCUCCUCCUUCUCCUUCUUUCUUCUCCUUCUUUUCUUCUCCUCCUCCUCCUUUUCUCCUCUCCUCCUCCUUUUUUCUUCUCCUUCUUCUCCUCCUCCUUCUCUUCCUUCUCAUUCUUCCCCUUCUUCUUUUCCUUCGUUUCCUCCCCCCCUCCACCUCCUCUCAAAUUUAGUUUUCCACGGAAUCCCCCAUCCUUUGGAAAUUUUUUUUUUGCUUAGUAUCUGUUCAUUUCUUCCAGAAUCAUAGUUUGGAAUUAAUGGACACAUAGUAGUUAAUCAGAUGAUAGAGAUUAAAGUGAAGGGAGGCAUACACUGGAAUAGCAAAAUAUGUUUGCAGUGAAACCCAAUGAAUAGAAUACUUCAUGUUAGGGUGAAGUAUUGGAGGAAAAACAAAUACUUUCAUUAAAAUCAAAGCUACUCUUCAGAAUUUCAUUAUUUUCUUUUAAUGAGAAAUGUAUGUGUUGGUCGUCUUGUCGUCUUUGACUCUUAAAAUGUAACCAAGCAAAUUUUAAACUACAUCUCUAAAGUGCCUAAGUGUGAUGCCUACGUUACCUUUAACUUAACUUCGUUAGUGGCAGAGGUUCCAUGAGUUAUGAGUACUCUGCUCUGUGAAUGUCUCCAUUUUUGAGGUGCCUUUGUGGAGUAUUGAUAGGGACCAUUCCUGGGCUCCACUUACAGACUUCUGUUGGGGAAUAGGAUCUCACAAAGCAGAACAGGAGUUUGUGAUAAGGAAGAGGACAAAGAGAGCAGGUCCUUGUGUUCUUCAAAAACGGUGAACAUUAUCCUACUGAUUUUGGACCAAGGGAGUUCUCCAGUGGGAAGUGACACAGAACCUACCACAGUGCCUUCCAAUCCAGGUUUUUGGUAAUGAGUGAUGAAUGAAUCCCAUGAGAGCAGAGCCCCGUGGAGCGGGUGGCAAAUGUUGCUCUCUGACUACAGUUCUCUCCUUAGGGAUGCUAACACAGACUGCCUCAGAUGCAGGCAGGGCUGCUUGUCCACACUGAUCAGGCAUGGAUUUGCAUUAACAUCUGUAGUGCCCUUUACUUGUGCAGUGAGAUACUGGGAUAUACAACAGAAUAGGUGCUGGAAGAGGCAUCCACUACAGUGUGGGCAGACUCUUUGGAUCUGUAUUAAUAACAGCCUCUCCCGUGGAUUAGCUAGUCCAGGCUUUGGUGCUUUAUUUCCUCCCAAAAUAAUGGAGUGUGUACUCCUUAGUUAUGUGUAGCACCAAGAAAAUUAAUCCAGAUGUCAUCUUUUUUGUUUCCCCCUCCAGCGUGGCUGGAUACUUGGCAGGGCACAGAAUCACAUGGUCUUCAGAUCUUCUAAAAGCUGAUUUUCCUGGGCCUAAUCCCAUGAGAGUUGGAGACAGUCUAUGAUAAUUACUGAUUCAGCUCCUGCUGGUGUUGAACUUACUGAGAAACUUAAACAAGAAUUAAAAUACACACCCACACACCCUCAGAUGGAGCCAAACACUAAACCAGAUUAGUCUUUCGUGGUCACCUUUUCUUCAGGAUUAGGAGGAUCAGAAAGCAAGAGCAGAUUCUGAAACACUGUAACCCCAUUCCCUACUGGGUCAUAAGAGGCUGGUGCUCUUGAGGACGAAGGUCGGCAGCAGGUGCCAACUAGGUACUGGCUUCUGGUCCCAGCAGAGCUGGCCUGCCACAGCCCAAGCGUCUUGUUUUGGUUAAAAAAUGAGUCUCUUGGCCUUUCAUGCCUGGGCGUUCUCCGGAACUCAGAUGUUUGUGAACCAGGUUCAGGGACUCUCAAGUUCAAGUCACUGGCAGAUUGGAGAAAAGACCUAGAAGUUCUAAGUGUCUGAGGUAAUGAGAGGAGGGACGCAAAGCCUCAUUCAAUGAGACUGCAAAGUCACCUGAAUGGGAAAGCUUGCCCUAUUGCUGGCCUCGGCAAUGGCACCUUCAGGUUGUCCCCUGUACGGGUUGAUGAGGGAGUGGAGGACCCCAGGUCCCUUCUUAAUGUCAGCCUUGGCCACAGGUUUCGAUGAAAUUUAGUAUGUUGAUUAGGAGCUGCCAAAAUCAGAGCAACUCCCCUCCCAAGGGGACGUUUAGUUUUCAGUUGUUAAAAAUACACCCUGAGACAGAAAUUUUGGGACACUUAAGUGACUUUGAAAUCCAUCCAAAGGUUACUCUGUUCCUUCACUCCACACAGCUCAGGCAUUUCCAUGUUGGUCUCAGCUGCCAUCUCAAUGGUUUAUUCUUUUUACAUGUUGGAGCAGAUCUGGACCUCCCAAAAUGUUUUGAGGAGAAGUGGGCUUAGAGGGGUUUUCCCUGCUCUGUGAGAGAAGGAAUUUAGCAAGGAUUAAUUUUUCUAAGAAGGUGGCACAAGUUUUGAUGUGAUUUGCUGGAAAAUAGUAAUAGUCACAAUUUAUCUUAUUCCCCCAAGAGAAUGGGAUGAUGUUCCCAUGGAACCUUGCUCAUCCUGCUAGCAAUAACUUGUAUUCUCUUUCUGAUUCACACAAACAAGGAUCAGAGGGUGAUGGUGGGGGAAAUGAUACCAGGAAAUACAGUUCGUUUUUUGCAGGGAUUCAGAAUGUGUUGCUGGACUUCAAGAUAGGAAGAAUCUUUGCCUUGAUGGCUGAUGACAGUAACCACCCCAUCUACCAUCAUCUAUUAAGGAUUUACUGUGUGGUCACUUUACAGUCAUCCAAGUAAAUUUUCAUAAUCACCUGAUUACAUGGGUACCGCUUUUCAGAAAAAGAAACAGAUUUCUGGAGGGAUUCAGAAUCCAUGGCUGGAAGAGGUAGUAAGGCCAUUGGGAGGGCAUGCCUCUCCUCAGCCCACCCCCACCCUGUGUGGGUCUCCAUUCUGAAAUUUCCAUUCAGAUGACCCGGUCCUAGGCAGGGACCAAAAUUCCUUGUCAGCUGAGGAAGUCCUGAAGAAACAUCCUGAAGAUGAUGACUGCACUGCCAUCGUGGGCAGAUGCAGCUUCCAUCUACCUGAGGGCUGAAGGGGAAAACCUUUCACACACGUGAGGAAGGCGCAGCUCUGUGGAAAGGUCACUAGAAUGGCAGCGGCAGCAAAUAGGGCUCCAAUGCACGUUUGCAGUUAACUGGGUCCAAGGAGAGCAUGGCCCUCCACAGCAAGUUUGCUCUAUAGAAUAAAGUCCUGAGCUUGUUUUUAUCACAGUUAGACAGAGAAUGGUCUCUUGUUUCUCAGUUAUCCAGGGAAGAACAGUGUAUAUUCUCUGUAGAUGAGUGUUGUCUAAUGUAGUGAUUAAUCUCUGCUAGUGUUAGGAAAGCUCCACUACUGUGUGUGUGUGUGCGUGCAUGCGCGUGCGCAUGUGCACAUACUGCAGUCUUGACUUUCCAAUUACAAAAUGCCUAAGUCAGGUCACAUUGUCUUCUUCCAGCCAGUUUCUAAGGCAGGCAAUGGAAACAGGAGCCGAUGCCAAAUGGUCUAGAGGCAGAAGGGCUGCAUGCUUUGCAGGGCCAGCCCCAAGGCUGCCUUCCAGAGCUGCACUUUCUCUGGGGACAGUAAACUCUCACCGCAGCUGCCAGCCCCCUGUGCUUGGCCAUGCCCCUCACAUGGACUUGGAAUCAGUGUCUCUCUUGCUGAUGAGCACCUCCAGGAGCCUCAGUUUCGCCUUUAUGUGCUUAUAUUCACUGUAUUCUUCAGCCAUAGGAGUGCGGUCUUCCUUCUGGAC
rnacentral:lncRNA from 1 species